rnacentral:rRNA from 1 species
GACGAACGCUGGCGGCGUGCUUAACACAUGCAAGUCGAACGGAAAGGCCCUGCUUUUGUGGGGUGCUCGAGUGGCGAACGGGUGAGUAACACGUGAGUAACCUGCCCUUGACUUUGGGAUAACUUCAGGAAACUGGGGCUAAUACCGGAUAGGAGCUCCUGCUGCAUGGUGGGGGUUGGAAAGUUUCGGCGGUUGGGGAUGGACUCGCGGCUUAUCAGCUUGUUGGUGGGGUAGUGGCUUACCAAGGCUUUGACGGGUAGCCGGCCUGAGAGGGUGACCGGCCACAUGGGGACUGAGAUACGGACCAGACUCCUACGGGAGGCAGCAGUGGGGAAUAUGGCACAAUGGGCGGAAGCCUGAUGCGGCAACGCCGCGUGCGGGAUGACGGCCUUCGGGUUGAGAACCGCUUUCGCCUGUGACGAAGCGUGAGUGACGGUAAUGGGUAAAGAAGCACCGGCUAACUACGUG